UAUGUUGAUGAGAGGUUAAUUACUGUUCCUAGGCUGUUAGGAAAAUUACUAAUUAGGAUACAGUGGUAUUAAAAUAAAAGAUGCAACUUUUUCUAUGAAAUAUAAUGAAUACAAAAGAAAUGUUCCAAUUUAAAAACAGCAUGAAGAAUUGAGGACAGAGAAGCAGUCCCUUGAGUCUGCAGUCAGUAGGGAAGAAUAAAUCUUCCUCAUUAGGGGCAGCCAAGCCCUUCACUUCCAUUUGGGGGCCAAGAGUCCAUUGAAAGCCAUUGGUCUCCCUCUUACUGUCAUAGUGGAGUUGAUUUCCAAUUUAUCUUAAAUUUUUUUUAGACAUCAUAAAAGCUGUAUUGGGUUUUCAAUCUUUAGCUUUUAAAUUCUUAUCUAGAGUCAUGUUUUAAUACCAGCCUCCCAUUCCUAUUUUUUUGAGAUAAACUAAAAUCUUUAAAAAGAAAGGAGAUCCAAGGUCAUUGGCACCUCGGAUGACAAUAACCCGUUUUGAUCUUUCAUGAAACAUAAUCACCUCAUUCUAACGUAGGGGACUUUGGUCAGAUUUUCUCCCAAAAGCUUCUCCAAUUUUAAUAUAAUAUCUCAAGUAUUUAAUAUGCUUCUACUCUGUUUAAGGCCCUUUGCUAGGGGUUGAGAGGGAUAAAACUUAUUUUAAAGUACCUUCCCUGGGAGUUUAUAAAUUGAGAGAAGGGAUGAAUCUCUACAGCUAACAGAUGGUGGUGAAAUGGGAAAGAGGCUUAUUAGUAUUAUCUCAGGUUUUAGUAAACCAGCAUGAACUUCCCCUGCAGUAACACUGUGAAGUAAGUACUAUUGUUCCUUCUGUUUUACUGAUCAGUAAACAGAUUGUAGGUCAUGUAUUUCCCAUAGGUAGUGGGGCUGGCCCUCUUCCUGUGGUUUCUAUCCUCAAAGGCAGUCCCUUUGCCACUUUCCACAUUGGUUGGAAGGUCUGGGAGUAGAUGGAAUUUUGUGGGGGUAGUAGAAUUUCUUAGAGUCGAGUGUGGAAGCAAUUGAAAU
rnacentral:lncRNA from 1 species